rnacentral:rRNA from 1 species
GACGAACGCUGGCGGCGUGCUUAACACAUGCAAGUCGAACGAUGAAGCCGGAGCUUGCUCUGGUGAAUUAGUGGCGAACGGGUGAGUAACACGUGAGUAACCUGCCCUUGACUCUGGGAUAACUGCGGGAAACUGUAGCUAAUACCGGAUACGACCCUCGGAGGCAUCUCCUGGGGGUGGAAAGAAUUUCGGUCAAGGAUGGACUCGCGGCCUAUCAGCUAGUUGGUGAGGUAAAGGCUCACCAAGGCGACGACGGGUAGGCGGCCUGAGAGGGUGACCGGCCACACUGGGACUGAGACACGGCCCAGACUCCUACGGGAGGCAGCAGUGGGGAAUAUUGAACAAUGGGCGCAAGCCUGAUGCAGCAACGCCGCGUGAGGGAUGACGGCCUUCGGGUUGUAAACCUCUUUUAGCAGGGAAGAAGCGAAAGUGACGGUACCUGCAGAAAAAGCACCGGCUAACUACGUGCCAGCAGCCGCGGUAA